GGCAGACGGCUGAGUAACGCGUGGGAACCAACCCCAAACACUGGAAUAGCUCACCGAAAGGUGGGGUACUACCAGAUAGUUCCGCUUCGGCGGUAAAGCUCUGGCGGUUUGGGACGGGCCCGCGUCCUAUCAGGUUGUUGGUGAGGUAAAGGCUCACCAAGCCUAUGACGGGUAGCUGGUUUGAGAGGAUGACCAGCCAGACUGGGACUGCGACACGGCCCAGACUCCUACGGGAGGCAGCAAUUAGGAAUCGUGCGCAAUGGACGAAAGUCUGACGCCGCGACGUCGCGUGGAGGAUGAAGGUCUGCGGAUCGUAAACUCCUUUUAUCAGGGAACAAGGUUCUGAGUGUACCUGAUGAAUAAGUGCUUGCCAACCACGUGCCAGAAGCAUCGGUAAAACGUGGGGCACAAGCGUUAUCCGGAUUUACUGGGCGUAAAGAGAUACGUAGGCGUCUUUCCAAGUCAGUUGUUAAAUCUUUCGGCUCAACCGAAACAUGGCAACCGAUACUGGAUUGAUUGAGGUAGAUAGGGGAGAACGGAAUUCCUGGUGGAGCGGUCAAAUGCGUAGAUAUCAGGAGGAACACCAAUGGCGAAGGCAGUUCUCUGGGUCUUACCUGACGCUAAGGUUCGAAAGCGUGGGGAGCAAAACGGAUUAGAUACCCGUGUAGUCCACGCCGUAAACGAUCCCUGCUAGGUGUAUGUCUUUCCUUUUUAUUUCUUCGGAAGUAAUUAUGGUAAGGUGUGUGCCACAGCUAACGCAUUAAGCAGGGCGCCUGAGGAGUACGGUCGCAAGGCUAAAACUCAAAGGAAUUGACGGGGACCCGCACAAGCAGUGGAGCGCCUGGUUUAAUUCGAUGAUCAGCGAAGAAUCUCACCUAGGCUUGAACUGUAGCUGCACGCCCACAGAAACGUGGGAAGCCUUCGAGGGUGCCACAGAGGUGCUGCAUGGUUGUCGUCAGCUCGUGUCGUGAGAUGUAGGGUUAAGUCCCACAACGAACGCAACCCCUACCCAGUGUUACAUAUUUCUCUGGGGACUGCCCUGCCCAAGCGGGGAGGAAGGAGGGGACGACGUCCAGUCAUCAUGUUCCUUAUGUCUAGGGCUACACAGACGCUACAAUGGGCGGUACAAUGGGCAGCCAAACCGCAAGGUGGAGCUAAUCCCAUCAAAACUGUUCUCAGUUCGGAUUGUAGGCUGGAACUCGCCUGCAUGAAGUCGGAAUUGCUAGUAAUCGCGUAUCAGCAUGGCGCGGUGAUACGUUCUCGGGUCUUGUACACACCGCCCGUCAGGGCACGGAAGCUGCUUCUGCCCGAAG
rnacentral:rRNA from 1 species